AAAGGACAUAUUAAUAAAUUAUCAUCUCUCGGGCUGGAGAGAUGGCUCAGCCGUUAAAGGCUAGGCUCACAACCAAAAUAAA
rnacentral:miRNA from 14 species